UCUCCGUAGGUGAACCUGCGGAGGGAUCAUUACAGAGUUCGGGCCCUCACGGGUAGAUCUCCCACCCUGUGUUAUUAUACCUCUGUUGCUUUGGCGCGCCGCCCUCGGCUACCGGCCCCGGCUGGUACGCGGCCGCCAGAUGACCCCAAACUCUGAAUGUUAGUGUCGUCUGAGUACUCUACAAUAGUUAAAACUUUCAACAACGGAUCUCUUGGUUCUG
rnacentral:misc_RNA from 1 species